rnacentral:rRNA from 1 species
CUUGCUACUUUGCCGGCGAGCGGCGGACGGGUGAGUAAUGUCUGGGAAACUGCCUGAUGGAGGGGGAUAACUACUGGAAACGGUAGCUAAUACCGCAUAACGUCGCAAGACCAAAGAGGGGGACCUUCGGGCCUCUUGCCAUCAGAUGUGCCCAGAUGGGAUUAGCUAGUAGGUGGGGUAACGGCUCACCUAGGCGACGAUCCCUAGCUGGUCUGAGAGGAUGACCAGCCACACUGGAACUGAGACACGGUCCAGACUCCUACGGGAGGCAGCAGUGGGGAAUAUUGCACAAUGGGCGCAAGCCUGAUGCAGCCAUGCCGCGUGUAUGAAGAAGGCCUUCGGGUUGUAAAGUACUUUCAGCGGGGAGGAAGGUGUUGAGGUUAAUAACCUCAGCAAUUGACGUUACCCGCAGAAGAAGCACCGGCUAACUCCGUGCCAGCAGCCGCGGUAAUACGGAGGGUGCAAGCGUUAAUCGGAAUUACUGGGCGUAAAGCGCACGCAGGCGGUCUGUCAAGUCAGAUGUGAAAUCCCCGGGCUCAACCUGGGAACUGCAUUCGAA